AUUGCCUUAGUAACGGCGAGUGAAGCGGCAACAGCUCAAAUUUGAAAGCUGGCCCUUUCAGGGUCCGCGUUGUAAUUUGUAGAGGAUGAUUCGGCGAGGGCUCCCGCCUAAGUCCCCUGGAACGGGGCGUCAUAGAGGGUGAGAAUCCCGUAUGCGGUGGGCUGCCUUAGCCGUGUGAAUCUCCUUCGACGAGUCGAGUUGUUUGGGAAUGCAGCUCUAAAUGGGAGGUAAAUUUCUUCUAAAGCUAAAUACCGGCCAGAGACCGAUAGCGCACAAGUAGAGUGAUCGAAAGAUGAAAAGCACUUUGGAAAGAGAGUUAAAAAGUACGUGAAAUUGUUGAAAGGGAAGCGCUUGCAACCAGACUUGUCCGCAGUUGCUCAGCCGGUCUCCUGACCGGCGUACUCUUCUGCGGCCAGGCCAGCAUCAGUUCGGGCGGUCGGAUAAAGACCUCGGGAAUGUAGCUCCUCUCGGGGAGUGUUAUAGCCCGGGGUGGAAUGCGGCCAGCCUGGACUGAGGAUCUCGCUUCGGCAAGGAUGCUGGCGUAAUGGUUGUAAGCGGCCCGUCUUGAAACACGGACCAAGGAGUCUAACAUCUAUGCGAGUGUUUGGGUGUCAAACCCAUACGCGUAAUGAAAGUGAACGGAGGUGGGAACCCGCAAGGGCGCACCAUCGGCCGAUCCUGAUGUCUUCGGAUGGAUUUGAGCAAGAGCAUAGCUGUUGGGACCCGAAAGAUGGUGAACUAUGCCUGAAUAGGGUGAAGCCAGAGGAAACUCUGGUGGAGGCUCGCAGCGGUUCUGACGUGCAAAUCGAUCGUCAAAUUUGGGUAUAGGGGCGAAAGACUAAUCGAACCU
rnacentral:rRNA from 1 species